rnacentral:lncRNA from 1 species
CUGGGAUAGAGACAGAAUCACUGGAAGUAUGUGCUGCUGGCGGCAGUCGCUUUAAAUACAGACUGGAGAGGAGCACUCAUAGGACUUUAAAACAACAAGAGCGACAUGGCAGUGAACUCGUCAUUACAACCCAGCCGGAUGGACAGAAGUGGUAGUUUUCUUCAGCUCGUCGAUGCGUUUGCAUUGUCACUGGGUGCAUUGGAG